GAGACGCCUUGGGAUGGUGGUUAGCUUCUAUGCCAGUUGCUUUCUUACAGUGAGUCAGAGUUCAACAGCAACCACUUUAAGAUGGUGUUUUGCUCUUAAUAGGAAGCUUGCAGACAAGAUUGCAGCUUCUGGUUACUAUGUGGUUGUUUCGGACUUCUUUUAUGGUGAACCCUAUGAUCCUCAGAAUACUAAUAGACCUUUAGGAAUUGAGAGUUAGUGAUGGAAUGGGUGUAAAGUCUUUAAUGCAACUCGUGUUAGUGAUUAGAUAAAUAAAAUAAAAUAGAAUAGAAGUUACUCACAUAAAUGUUUGAUAAGCAAUAAGCAAUAAGCUACUUUGGACUUGUCUCAGCUACCAAUAAGGUUAGAAAUCAGUAUCGUUUGUCCAUAUAUGUAUUUGUUGCUGCAAAUCAAUGGCUUAUUGAAUUCUGUUUUUUGCUGCAGUUUUUCUCAUCAAAUGGUUUUUCUUGUCCAAGUCUCUAGAAUCCUCCUGAUCACUUUGUAAAAAUUAUUAACAAGGAUUUUGAAUAGGUAGGUAGAAUAUGAAUCACUCUAAGAUCUUUACUGAACAACAAUUUAUUUUAAAGGUUACAAUGAUAGGUAGAAUAAAAAUCACUCUAAUAUCUUUCUUGUUUUGCUUGAUGGAUUAAGUCUAGGUAUAGCUUGCCACUUAUUUUAUGCCUUCAACUUUCUCUGAUUUCUCAUUCAUAUGAAGGUAAACAAAAACAACCCUCCUACCCCCAAAACACACAUUCAUUCAUAUGAAUGAAAUUUAUGGAAUGAAAACAUGAGGUGGAGAUGCUUUGAUGUAAAAUACUUGCUAUAUAAGUAGACAAGCAUUUGAUUUUAAAUAACUGCAUUAUUAUUGAUCAUGAUAGUUUAGGUAAGUUAGUUUUAGUUUUAGGCCUGUAAUAUUUUAUAUGUACUCAAAUUGAUUCUUAACAUAUUAAAAUAACUUGCUGGAGGUGAAGGGUUGGAUCAAAAAAUUAAAAAAAAAAGACCUGUUAGAGCUGUAGGAAAUAGAGUCACGACUGGUGAAAGAGAUGUGAAACGAUCUGCUCUUCCAAAGGCAAAUGCUGGUUCGAAGAUGUGUUUUUAUGAUACACAGGGUUUCAGGUAGUUUGUCUUGUUAUAGAUUUUAGGACUUAGGUUUUAGUUGUCAUGCUAAUACUGACUAAAUAGUUUUUUCGAGGAUUUAUUAGAUUUUUCAUCAAUGAUGAUAUAUAUGGAGUAAUUUCACACACUGGUUUUCAUCCAACAGAAUUUGUUAAUGGUAGAAAAUAUCAUAUGAAUGAUUCUAUGCUUUUUUAUGUAUGUUAAAACUGAAUGGAUCAUGGUCAUGGUAUUGAAUCAACGUCACUGUUAUAGGGUUGAGUUUGCUUUUUUGUGUUGUUAUUGUUGUUGGAGGAACAUGCUUGAGAGAUUGCCUCGCUUCAGUAUUGUUAUGCUUGCCAUGUAUUUGAUGAAUUUCCUGAGAGAGAUGGAAAAGAGCGAAACUUAUUUUCUGUGUUUCCUUUUCCCAAUUCACAAGAUUUAGGUACUUUUCCUCUUGGAUUGCUUAUGAAAUUGGGUGUAAGUUUUCUCAUGUUUUGCAUUUGUGAUUGGUAGUAUUUUUCCUUGCUUGAAGUUGUUAGUUAUUAUUAAACCACUGUUUUGUGCCUAAUAUAAUUGAUGAGUACUACUUGUAUGUACUACUUCAUGACCAAUAAACUUUCUUAUAUUAGAUGACCAAUUCUGCCUUUUGUUAUUACUGAGGACCAGAAAACUGCCAUGGCCAAGGCUUCUAAGGCAUGUGCCUUUCUCAAGAGAUGUCCUUCACUAACACUGCUGAUGUCCUUUUUCUGCCUCCCUUAUCAGCUUAUACAUUGGCAUAUAUAUUGCCCUUGUUGAAUUGCUAUAUGCUGUCUUAUUUAGUGACCAACUACUAUUUUACUGACCAAUAAUAUUCAAUAGGAUUAGCUGACAUUAGCUAUCCUUCCAAACAUGGCUAAGACUUAAAAGUAUAUAGAUUACAGUUAACUUAAAAUCUCUACUGUUUUACUGGAAAGGAUAAUUGAUGCUACAAUUUGACUUUUUCCCCUUCUAACCAGGGGAAGCUAUUUUCAAAUUCUGAAUCAAUAAAAAAGAGAGCUGAAGCUGCAGUGCUCUUUAAGCAGUUGGAAUAUCCAAUUUUACUGCAUUGCAUAUGUUUGAUGCUUACUGCUCUGUUCAGAACUUCUGCUAUAGAGGAUAGUUCAAUUGAUUUUGGAGACUUCUUUAAAGGUCCAUUACCAAGAAAGUUUCUCAAGCUUUUAGGGUUUCUUGCCUUGUCAUGUCUUGGUGUGUAUAUUC